UACGGCCACAUCACGUAGAAAACCUCCCCCACCACCGCUUCUCUUACGAUCACCGAAGUUAAGCAACGUCGAGCCUGCUCAGUACCUAGACGGGUGAUCGCAUGGGAAUACCAAGUGCUGUAA